CGCCUCUCUGUGGAAUUGGCUGCAGGUCCAGCACCACUAUUAGCUAGUAUCCUCGUGAGCGGCCUCCGUGCCAUUAAGGGUGUCGAAAGUCGCCAAAUUCUGCAGGCGAGACUAGACUCGGGACUUUCCUGCCUCUGCAUUCUGGAGUGCUGGGAUUGUAGAAGGAAAACGAAUUUACAGAUUGCCGGAAGUCAUCAAGCUGAAUGGAGAAGCCAGGAACUAACUGUACCUGGGUCUGAGAUAGAAAGCCAUGAGUAACGUAGAAUAAUUGCACACCUACUCUUAACUGCUCUAAGAUAUAAUAAAAAUGUAAU